GGCUCCUUAGUUCAAUGGAUAGAAUGUGAGUUUCCGGAACUCAAGAUAUAGGUUCGAUUCCUAUAGGAGCUA
rnacentral:tRNA from 1 species